GACGAACGCUGGCGGCGUGCUUAACACAUGCAAGUCGAACGGAAAGGCCCUGCUUUUGUGGGGUGCUCGAGUGGCGAACGGGUGAGUAACACGUGAGUAACCUGCCCUUGACUUUGGGAUAACUUCAGGAAACUGGGGCUAAUACCGGAUAGGAGCUCCUGCUGCAUGGUGGGGGUUGGAAAGUUUCGGCGGUUGGGGAUGGACUCGCGGCUUAUCAGCUUGUUGGUGGGGUAGUGGCUUACCAAGGCUUUGACGGGUAGCCGGCCUGAGAGGGUGACCGGCCACAUGGGGACUGAGAUACGGCCGAGACUCCUGCGGAAGGCAGCAGUGGGGAAUAUUGCACAAUGGGCGGAAGCCUGAUGCAGCAACGCCGCGUGCGGGAUGACGGACUUCGUGUGGUAAACCGCUUUCGCCUGUGACGAAGCGUGAGUGACGGUAAUGGGUAAAGAAGCACCGGCUAACUACGUG
rnacentral:rRNA from 1 species